UACGUAGGUGGCAAGCGUUGUCCGGAUUUACUGGGCGUAAAGGGUGCGUAGGCGGUCUCGCAAGUCUGGCGUGAAAGCCCAAGGCUCAGCCUUGGAAGUGCGCUCGAAACUGCGAGGCUGGAGUGCCGGAGGGGAGAGUGGAAUUCCCGGUGUAGCGGUGAAAUGCGCAGAUAUCAGGAGGAACACCAGUGGCGAAGGCGGUGCUCUGGGCCGGAACUGACGCUGAGGAGCGAAAGCGUGGGGAGCAAACAGG
rnacentral:rRNA from 1 species